rnacentral:rRNA from 1 species
CAGUCGCCACGGUAAUACAGAGGGUGCAAGCGUUAAUCGGAAUUACUGUGCGUAAAGCGCGCGUAGGUGGUUUGUUAAGUUGGAUGUGAAAUCCCCGGGCUCAACCUGGGAACUGCAUCCAAAACUGGCAAGCUAGAGUAUGGUAGAGGGUGGUGGAAUUUCCUGUGUAGCGGUGAAAUGCGUAGAUAUAGGAAGGAACACCAGUGGCGAAGGCGACCACCUGGACUGAUACUGACACUGAGGUGCGAAAGCGUGGGGAGCAAACAGGAUUAGAUACCCCUGUAGUCCCUGUCUCUUAUAC